UACGUACCGGACGAACGUUAUUCGGAAUUACUGGGCUUAAAGAGUGCGUAGGCGGCUUUGAAGGUGGGGUGUGAAAGCCCACGGCUCAACCGUGGAAUUGCGCUCCAAACCGCAAGGCUUGAGGAAGACAGAGGUGAGCGGAACUGAUGGUGGAGCGGUGAAAUGCGUUGAUAUCAUCAGGAACACCCGUGGCGAAGGCGGCUCACUGGGUCUUAUCUGACGCUGAGGCACGAAAGCUAGGGGAGCGAAC
rnacentral:rRNA from 1 species